rfam:Salmo salar isolate Sally breed double haploid chromosome ssa13, whole genome shotgun sequence.
UUAGCGACUGAUUGUCCAAACGCAAUUCUUGAGCAAAAUCAAACAAAACCCCAAGAAUUGUGCAUGGACAUCUGUUGCUGA